rnacentral:rRNA from 2 species
UGCUAAUACCGCAUAACCAUGAACACCGCAUGAUGUUCAUGUAAAAGACGGCUUUUGCUGUCACUUUUGGAUGGGCCUGCGGCGUAUUAACUUGUUGGUGGGGUAACGGCCUACCAAGGUGAUGAUACGUAGCCGAACUGAGAGGUUGAUCGGCCACAUUGGGACUGAGACACGGCCCAAACUCCUACGGGAGGCAGCAGUAGGGAAUCUUCCACAAUGGACGAAAGUCUGAUGGAGCAACGCCGCGUGAAUGAAGAAGGCCUUCGGGUCGUAAAAUUCUGUUGUCAGAGAAGAACGUGCGUGAGAGUAACUGUUCACGUAUUGACGGUAUCUGACCAGAAAGCCACGGCUAACUACGUGCCAGCAGCCGCGGUAAUACGUAGGUGGCAAGCGUUGUCCGGAUUUAUUGGGCGUAAAGGGAACGCAGGCGGUCUUUUAAGUCUGAUGUGAAAGCCUUCGGCUUAACCGAAGUAGUGCAUUGGAAACUGGAAGAC